CCCUCCCGAGUCCCGCCGUUGCUUUCCAGCACGCCAGCUGCAGGGCAUUCCUACGAACAUCUUAGGCUUAACUCCAGGAUUCAGGGCUGGUGUUAGGGUUUGGUUAUCCCACCACCCGCUGUAUAAAGGCGUGUAAGCUGGGGUCCCGGGUGGCCUUGCUUUGCCUCCGGUCCAUCGCCCGUGCCUCCCCGUGAAUCGAAGCCGUCUCAAAUCCCUCUGCCAUCCCGUUUUGCCAUUUCUCGAGGUUUUGCAAGUAGGACUACAAGUCAGCUGAAGAACAUAUCCAUGUCUAUCUCAACGAGUCCAUCACCAGUAGCAGCUCCAGAGUUGACUGAUCAAAGAGAGGAAGUUGAAUUGCUACCUUCUGUCAAUGACCACUAUGGAGGUGUUAUGGUUGAAAUGAAGACACCAAUGGAUUCUAGUGCUUUUGUUUCUUCAUUAAGAGCAUCUAUAUCAUAUUGGAGGAAGCAGGGAAUAAAAGGUGUUUGGAUAAAGUUGCCCAUCAAUCUCUCAAAUCUUGUUCAACCUGCUGUUGAGGAGGGAUUUUGGUACCACCAUGCAGAGCCAAGUUACUUGAUGCUUGUGUAUUGGAUUCCUGAUACCAAACAUACAAUUCCUGCAAAUGCCUCUCAUAGAGUAGGUGUUGGUGGUUUUGUUAUGAAUGACAAGAGAGAGGUAUUGGUGGUCCAAGAAAAUAGCGGCAAACUUCAUGGCUCAGGUGUUUGGAAGAUUCCUACAGGAGUAGUUGACCAAGGUGAAGAUAUUUAUGCUGCAGCAGUAAGGGAAGUAAAAGAAGAGACUGGAAUUUUACUGCAUUGCAGAUUGACACCGAGUUUGUUGAAAUACUUGCAUUCAGGCAGAACCACAUGUCAUUCUUUGGGAAGUCAGAUUUAUUCUUUGUAUGCAUGUUACGCCCCCUCUCCUUUGACAUUCAGAAGCAAGAAUCAGAAAUUGAGGCAGCGCAGUGGAUGCCUAUUGAGGAAUAUGCUGCACAACCUUUUGUUCAGAAAUAUGAUGUGUUAAAGUAUAUCACUGAUGUUAGCCUUGCAAAAGCUGAAAGGGGUUAUGCUGGAUUUUCACCAGUUUGCGUAAAAUCACCAUUCUCUCAUGCACAAGACUAUCUUUAUUUAAACAGGAAGGACCUGAGCCAGCCAUCAAGACCUGGCUGAGGAUGGCUCGGCUGACGGUAGCACCCCUCCAUACCUAUGCCUCAACUGCCCCCACUGCAGCAACCCAUGCCAGCUUUUCCCUCCGCCGCCACCAUAUCCAUUUUAUGGAGCUCCGCCGCCGCCAUCGCCAUCUGGGCUGGGCUAUGGAGCGCCGCCACCGCCAUCUCCAGUUGAGUGCCCGCCAACUCCUGUACAGUGCUGCCAAAAUCCUCCACUGCAGGGUCCCAGUUCUCCAAAUCUCCCAUAUUACAAUUAUUCAUCCUCUCCUCCCUCGCCGACGUUCCACCGGGUCUGCAGUGCUCUUCUCUCCAUUCUACUCUUCUUUCACUUUGCUUUCUAGGUUCUCAGAGGAAAUGCUAGCUUCCUCCUGGGAUCUUUCAUUGGAUGAGUUUCUAAUAAAAGUUUUGUGGUGAUGUCGUGGUAACUGUUAGUGGCUGUAGCUUUUUCUUAUGGGCUUAUGAUGUGUACUCUCUUUUAUAUUCAAAUUCGGAAUAAAUGUACGUCUCUGUUUUAUUUGAUC